AUGUAAUUGAAGGUGUAACUUUUCAGUCCAAAGUUCUUUUAUUUAAGAGAACGAGAAUGCUCCUUCUAAGAUAGGGUUCUCAUUUGAGGCAUUGAGUUAGUUUCUCUCUGAUCUAUGGGAUUAUACAGCUGUGUUGCAUUUUACUAGAUCUGUGAGAUGUUGGAAGUUGAGGUAAAUUUAUUAUAUUUAUUAAUUUUGAGUUUUUCUAUGUUAUUAUUUUAAUUAAAUUGUUGACCUUAUUUUCUGGCCAAUAUGAUGGAUCUGGUGUUGUAUAUUAUACUUAGAGAUUGUGGACUUCAAUUGAGAUCAAUGCAUGUAGAAGAUGUGAUGAUAUGAUUCAUCAACUUAUGAAAGUAGAUGUUGAAGUUGUAAUUUUCUUUCAGCAAAUGUAGUUUUUGAAUGUAAUGGAGAUCUAUUGAUUAUUGGAUUUUUAUGAAUAGAUCUUUGGUUUUUAGCUUUUA